CCGCUCGAACCCACCUAAUUGCCGCUGCCGAUUGCUCGCCGAAACUUCUGCCAAUCUCCGCGUGAAAAAUUCAUUCCGACGACACGGCGAUUUAACGAAGCGUAGUUGGUCGAUAAACCACCUACCUACGGUUCGACGGUGUCCAUUCGAGGAAACCAAUGGAGCCCUGUUCGUUCCGCUUUGCAGUUUCCUUCCGCCGAGCAAAUUUCUCAGGGAUCGACCACGCGCGAAGUGUCUCACGAGGAACGCUACUCGAUCGACGAUAGAAUCGCCUAGACUGUUCGACGUGACUCGUGCUCGUGUUACAAUUCAAGCGCAUAAACAACCAACUGACGAGGUGCGUGACCCGAUUGACCACGAAACCGCGUGCAAAAGCAUUCUCGAAAACGUUCCAAACGCGUU
rnacentral:misc_RNA from 1 species